rnacentral:rRNA from 1 species
CGGACGGGUGAGUAACGCGUGAGGAACCUGCCUCGGAGUGGGGAAUAACAGUUGGAAACAGCUGCUAAUACCGCAUAAUGCAACGGAAUCGCAUGACUCUGUUGCCAAAGAUUUAUCGCUCUGAGAUGGCCUCGCGUCUGAUUAGCUAGUUGGCGGGGUAACGGCCCACCAAGGCGACGAUCAGUAGCCGGACUGAGAGGUUGGCCGGCCACAUUGGGACUGAGACACGGCCCAGACUCCUACGGGAGGCAGCAGUGGGGAAUAUUGGGCAAUGGGCGCAAGCCUGACCCAGCCAAGUAGCGUGAAGGAUGAAGGUCCUACGGAUUGUAAACUUCUUUUAUACGGGAAUAAAGUAUCCUACGUGUAGGAUUUUGUAUGUACCGUAUGAAUAAGCAUUCGGCUAACUCCGUGCCAGCAGCCGCGGUAAUACGGAGGAUGCGAGCGUUAUCCGGAUUUAUUGGGUUUUAAAGGGAGCGCAGACGGGAGAUUAAGUCAGUUGUGAAAGUUUGCGGCUCAACCGUAAAAUUGCAGUUGAUACUUCGG